UACGGAGGGUGCGAGCGUUUGUCCGGAAUCACUGGGCGUAAAGGGCGCGUAGGCGGGCUGCCAAGUCCGUAGGUGAAAUCCCCCGGCUCAACCGGGGAACGGCCUCGGAUACUGGCGGCCUGGAGGGGGGUAGGGGCGUGCGGAACUGUGGGUGGAGCGGUGAAAUGCGUUGAGAUCCACAGGAACUCCGGUGGCGAAGGCGGCACGCUGGACCCUUUCUGACGCUGAGGCGCGAAAGCCAGGGGAGCGAACGGG
rnacentral:rRNA from 1 species